AUAGAUCCCCCAUCCUUUUUCUUGUGACUAGAACAUAUUUUGCCCUGGCGUCGCGGAUACAAACCCCAUGGACCCUGUGCAGGGCAGCUAUUCAACGCAAAUACUCUCCCUAAUUCUCUUAUAGGUUAAGUGUAGAACCCGUGCUGCUUCCUGAGGGACAUUUGUGCUAGUGAUGGCGGCUCCUGCUCACUCAAAGGACAUGCUGACUCAAGUGACCCAACUCUGGAGUAUGCUGGAUGAGAUGGCAGAAAGCACCCCUGAGAGUUACCACAGAUUCAUGCAGCAGCAGCUGGAGGAUGCAAAGCAAUAUUGCACUCCCCCUGAACCACAUCUUUGCCUACAGACCCACAUACUGGAUCCUAAUGAAAAAUCAUUAUUCAUUAACCUCUGCAGAUGGAAAAGAGUCCCAGCUCCUAAGUCACCUACUGAUCCACUACCUCUAAGUGCUGGCCCACUUGAGGAGGUGUCCGAUAAAGCAGAACUGACCCUGGACCAGAUAAAGAACAACCUCAGAGAGGAGGACCGCACUAAUGCUACACUGCUGCUGAACAAGGAUGUUACACAGUCUAAAGUGCAUCUGAUAGAAGAAAUUGCCAGUAUGGAGCUGGUACGGGAGCCAGUCACACCAGCCUAUGAACUGACCAUUGCAAAGGAUGCAAACAGGAAACCUCUAAAGAUUGAACUGAAAGUUGAAAUGCCUAAAGUUAGUUCCGUUUCUGAAUGUGAACUGAGCCUUUCAAGGGAUGAUGUAAUCAUUGAAGUCCCUGAAAAAUACAGAUUACAGCUGGAUUUGCCAGAGUUAGUCGAAGAAGAAGCAACUACAGCAACAUUUAACACAGGAAAAGGUGUGUUGCUUAUCAUAAUGCCAAUUCCCUAAAGAAAAUGUUAGGGACAACAGGUUCUCAAAAAAUUAUGGGUAUGUGUCACUCUUAAAGAUUAAAAGGAAGGUUAAUGGUAAAGAUCUUACUAAUAUGUAGAAAUCAGUAUCACUGUGUUAUUCUAAGUAUCUGUUCUGCUGUCUAUGAAGGGGGGUGAUAAAGUUUACAUAGAGAGGAAGUGUACUGUAUAUAGAGUAGGAAGGAAUUCUUAAUAAAAGUUGUAAGCAUUUGAGGGUUACUUAAAUCAUUUUAUCUCUAACGCGAUUCUACAUUAUAAACUUUACUACCAUGUUCAGUUUGUCCAUCAGUAGAGCAAUAAAGGGUGAUUAACUCUGAAGAAAUAGUGUUUUCCUUUCUGGUUUUACUCCGCUGAAGAAACUCUUAUCUGGUGUUAGCAAACUGUUUCUUUUUAAAUAGAGGGUUUAAUGCUAGUGAAAGAUGGUGACAUUGAUAAUGCUUGAUAUGUAACAGUGCAAGCUCUCCCACAACCUGGCUUCUUUUUCAACUAGAUCUGCAGGGGUUACCUUUAAAAAGUGAGGUGAGCAGUCUCCAAGCCAAUUCACUACUGAGAGCACUACUAAGAGUUGGCCUUAACCCACCCAUGCAAUGGUGUUGCAAUCUCAGCAGAACUAGGCAACAUAACAGUAGUGCUCUAGAACUAGUCUGCCAAUUCAAAUACUAUUUACAUAAUGGAUAUUAAGGCUCAAGAACCCUGUGAAUGACGGUAUCUACCAAAAGGGUUUCUCUACUAUCAACACUUCCCAAGUGCUAUAUGUCUGUGGUGCCAGCUAGCAUUCACGAAGAAAACAAGCCAAAGCAGAUGAGAUAACAUUACAAAUGAAUACUUCAGAGGUUGGAAAAGGUGGGUCAGGAGUCCAGUUGUCUUACAAAGGCAAUAAUGAUCAUAUUCUAUUCUAAUAUGAAAUUAUUUUUCAGACUGUAGGUGAGGAAAUAAAGCAUCAGUUUCAUGAUGCCUUUUUGCUGAGGCAACAAGAGUAAAAGAAAGCUGUGCAGCUUGUCUAGGAUUCAAUGUGAUCAGGUUGGGGAACUCUGAGCACGCAAUGGACAGCGUUUGGAUGAAGAAGACUUCUUCACCUGACUAGCAGGAGGCAGCAAACUUUGGAUGCGAAGGAACCCGUUCUUCCCAAAUCCAGCUGGCUCAACACUGAAGAACAGACGCAGGAGGCUCACCAUACUGGUUAUCUACUUGUCGCUCAGACCCACACCACAACCCUUCAGUA